AUCAGAAGUGCGAAUGCUGACAUAAGUAACGAUAAAGCGGGUGAAAAGCCCGCUCGCCGGAAGACCAAGGGUUCCUGUCCAACGUUAAUCGGGGCAGGGUGAGUCGACCCCUAAGGCGAGGCCGAAAGGCGUAGUCGAUGGGAAACAGGUUAAUAUUCCUGUACUUGGUGUUACUGCGAAGGGGGGACGGAGAAGGCUAUGUUAGCCGGGCGACGGUUGUCCCGGUUUAAGCAUGUAGGCGGAGGUUCCAGGUAAAUCCGGUACCUUUUAACGCUGAGGUGUGAUGACGAGGCACUACGGUGCUGAAGUAACAAAUGCCCUGCUUCCAGGAAAAGCCUCUAAGCAUCAGGUAACAUUAAAUCGUACCCCAAACCGACACAGGUGGUCAGGUAGAGAAUACCAAGGCGCUUGAGAGAACUCGGGUGAAGGAACUAGGCAAAAUGGUGCCGUAACUUCGGGAGAAGGCACGCUGGU
rnacentral:rRNA from 1 species